rnacentral:ncRNA from 1 species
CUCUAGUCGAUGGACCAAUGUAGGUAAGGGAAGUCGGCAAACGGAUCCGUAACCUUGGGAUAAGGAUUGGCUCUGAGGACUGAGCCGGUCGGGCUGGGGACCUGAAGCAGGAACGGCACUGCACCGGGACUGGGCGGGGCUCGCCGUUGACGCGGCGCGGCCAAGCCCGGACCAGCGUCGGGACCUUCCUGUGGAAAGCCUCAGCUGCGCGGCGUCUGAGGGCUUCGUGCCCAAAGUGCUAUGCUUCGGCCGGCAAAAAACAGUGAACUCAGAACUGGCACGAACCGGGGGAAUCCGACUAUCUAAUUAAAACAAAGCAUUGCGAUGGCCGCUGGUCGGUGUUGACGCAAUGUGAUUUCUGCCCAGUGCUCCGAAUGUCAACGUGAAGAGAUUCAUCAAAGCGCGGGUAAACGGCGGGAGUAACUAUGACUCUCUUGUGUCUCGAUGGCACCGGUCCUGCGCUUUCAAAGCUCCUAGCAAAAGGUGAGACAGAUUGUUUACGUGGACAGAGAACAUCAUGAUUCUGAGUACGCUACUUAAGACAAGUCAUGCCGCGGGGCGAAGCCUUUACAUGGCUAAUAUAGACCUGUCAAAGGCAUUUGACAGCGCCACACACACCGCAAUCUGAAUGGACUUGCACGCCACCAAAUGGUGGGGAAGUCCAUGAUUGACUACCUGCAUUGGUUCUACACAAAUUCUACUACAACCUUGCAACACAGAGGGGUGGAAAGGACAGUGCGCCCUGGGGAGGGAGUCAGACAAGGUGACCCGCUGUCUCCGCUGUUGUUUAACGCGGUCAUCGAUGAGUUCAUCGACAGCAUCCCCG